rnacentral:tRNA from 1 species
GUGGCUGUGGCUCAGUGGCAGAGUGCUCGCCUGGCAUGUGUGAGGGACUGGGUUUGAUCCUCAGCAUCACA